rnacentral:rRNA from 1 species
GGCGAUCAGAUACCGCCCUAGUUCUGACCGUAAACGAUGCCAACUAGCGAUCCGCCAGUCGACUCAUCGCUCUGGUGGGGAGCUUCCCGGAAACGAAAGUCUUCCGGUUCCGGGGGAAAUAUGGUUGCAAAGCUGAAACUUAAAGGAAUUGACGGAAGGGCACCACCAGGAGUGGAGCCUGCGGCUUAAUUUGACUCAACACGGGGAAACUCACCCGGCCCGGACACCGUAAGGAUUGACAGAUUGAUAGCUUUUUCAUGAUUCGGUGGAUGGUGGUGCAUGGCCGUUCUUAGUUCGUGGAGCGAUUUGUCUGGUUUAUUCCGAUAACGAGCGAGACUCUGGCCUACUAAAUAGUUGACGCAUUGCCACUGUGCGCACAACUUCUUAGAGGGAUUUUCGGUGUUUUCAACCGCACGAAAUUGAGCAAUAACAGGUCUGUGAUGCCCUUAGAUGUCCGGGGCUGCACGCGCGCUACACUGGCAAACGCAACGUGCCUGUCCUGCCCCGAAAGGAGCGGGUAAACCCCUGAAAUUUUGCCGUGAUUGGGAUCGGACAUUGCAACUAUUGUCCGUGAACGAGGAAUUCCUUGUAGGGGCGAGUCAUCAACUCGUCCCGAAUACGUCCCUGCCCUUUGUA